ACGAACGCUGGCGGCACGCUUAACACAUGCAAGUCGAACGAGAGAAGAGAAGCUUGCUUUUCUGAUCUAGUGGCGGACGGGUGAGUAACACGUGAGCAAUCUGCCUUUCAGAGGGGGAUACCGAUUGGAAACGAUCGUUAAUACCGCAUAACAUAAUUGAACCGCAUGAUUUGAUUAUCAAAGAUUUAUCGCUGAAAGAUGAGCUCGCGUCUGAUUAGCUAGUUGGUAAGGUAACGGCUUACCAAGGCGACGAUCAGUAGCCGGACUGAGAGGUUGAUCGGCCACAUUGGGACUGAGACACUGCCCAGACUCCUACGGGAGGCAGCAGUGGGGAAUAUUGCACAAUGGAGGAAACUCUGAUGCAGCGAUGCCGCGUGAGGGAAGAAGGUUUUAGGAUUGUAAACCUCUGUCUUCAGGGACGAAAAAAGACGGUACCUGAGGAGGAAGCUCCGGCUAACUACGUGCCAGCAGCCGCGGUAAUACGUAGGGAGCGAGCGUUGUCCGGAAUUACUGGGUGUAAAGGGAGCGUAGGCGGGAUCGCAAGUCAGAUGUGAAAACUAUGGGCUUAACCCAUAAACUGCAUUUGAAACUGUGGUUCUUGAGUGAAGUAGAGGUAAGCGGAAUUCCUAGUGUAGCGGUGAAAUGCGUAGAUAUUAGGAGGAACAUCAGUGGCGAAGGCGGCUUACUGGGCUUUAACUGACGCUGAGGCUCGAAAGCGUGGGGAGCAAACAGGAUUAGAUACCCUGGUAGUCCACGCCGUAAACGAUGAUUACUAGGUGUGGGGGGACUGACCCCUUCCGUGCCGCAGCAAACGCAAUAAGUAAUCCACCUGGGGAGUACGACCGCAAGGUUGAAACUCAAAGGAAUUGACGGGGGCCCGCACAAGCAGUGGAGUAUGUGGAUUAAUUCGAAGCAACGCGAAGAACCUUACCAGGUCUUGACAUCGUAUGCAUAGCUCAGAGAUGAGUGAAAUCUCUUCGGAGACAUAUAGACAGGUGGUGCAUGGUUGUCGUCAGCUCGUGUCGUGAGAUGUUGGGUUAAGUCCCGCAACGAGCGCAACCCUUACUGUUAGUUGCUACGCAAGAGCACUCUAGCAGGACUGCCGUUGACAAAACGGAGGAAGGUGGGGAUGACGUCAAAUCAUCAUGCCCCUUAUGACCUGGGCCUCACACGUACUACAAUGGCUGUAAACAGAGGGAUGCAAAGCCGCGAGGUGGAGCGAACCCCUAAAAGCAGUCUUAGUUCGGAUUGUAGGCUGCAACCCGCCUACAUGAAGUCGGAAUUGCUAGUAAUCGCAGAUCAGCAUGCUGCGGUGAAUACGUUCCCGGGCCUUGUACACACCGCCCGUCACGCCAUGGGAGUCGGUAACACCCGAAGCCUGUAGUCUAACCGCAAGGAGGACGCAGUCGAAGGUGGGAUUGAUGACUGGGGUG
rnacentral:rRNA from 1 species